UAUCCAUGAAAACGCCAUCUUUAAAUCCUGCGAAUAUUCACGUUAAUUAUAUCUAUAAUAGUGCGUUGUGUAGCGUAUAAUUCAAGCAUUGGACACGGGAAUUACUGAAGAGGCGAUUGAAUAGUGAUGUCUCGUAGGGAAGCUUAAGUUACAAUGACCUGUUCUACAUCCACGAGGAAACGAGUUCAAGGAGACCCUUUUUGGAGAGUCAAGUCAUAGACAAACUGUCUGCCCAGGGACUCGGCCCAGGGCAUCUCGCAACAUUACCAUAAACUCCAAACUUUUCUGGGUCGAGGAGGGAAGGAGGUCCUUGUACAUCCUACCUACGGACGCUCAAUGACUACAGAAAUGGGUUCAUCGGAUCAACCUUUUGAAUUCGCAGAGACGUCGAAUUGAAUCCCAAUGUUUACUCCUGGUUGGACGAGAACAAAAUAAGCUCAGCGCGUCACAAAUUUGGAUAAAAGAGCCAUGAAAAUGAAUAUUGACGGCAUUAUCGGGGUGAUUGUUAUUUUCAUACAUAAAGAUAAUUACAGAGGGGACUCGGUCCACCCGUGCAUUAUACGAAAUGGAUGACGCUAUAACUUCACGACGUAAUUAUCGAGUGGGAAAGAAAGGUGUGAUGGAGGCACAUCAUACAUCGUGCAUCAUUUUUUUCGUGAUCCCGUGAUGCAUAAGCCACCUCCGAUGAGGUGAUUACUACUGAUUCAUUAUUCAUUUAUGGAAGCUUAAUUUUUGAAAACAACUACACAAAGGUUAAUCAUAUCGGUGAUGCAUCAAUAUUCUGAUAAGAAUGUCCAUGGGGAGGAUGUAAAAAUAUUAAUGGUAAAUUGUUGCC